CAGCAGAGCCAUAUAGAGUGAGAGUUGCGACAACUCCAUUGACUCCAAUGGAACGCUUUUUUUACAGCAAUGGCGGCUCGUGGAGCCUCUCAAUAGUUCCCGGAAGUAGCAGCAAACCGAUGCCGCGCCGUAGAGAUGCAGCAGAACAAACCGUUCGCGACGCACUUUUAAAAGACCCAGGUAACUGGCUGAUGGUUCACUGGAAUGCUGACUGCUGCUGGUUGACUGGGCUGUGUCACCUGUCCCUGUCUCUCCUCUCUAGCCAUGUCCUUUUUCUUCACUCUCACUUUCCCUUCUCUGAGUAUCCUUGUUCUUUUUUCCUCAACCUUUGAAACUGAUAGAGAUCUAGGGGUGCAUCGUGGAGCAGGGCCCUCCUCUUUUUGACCACAGGAUGAUGUACAAAGAUUGUGGGAAUAGCAUCUGACCUCAGCCUACUCUUGAAUUUUUUGGUCAUUACAAAUUGCUUUGCCGCAAUUUGUCUGCAUACUGACUUCAGUUUAGUUUACACACACACCUUUUUUUUGUCUACCCACAUACAGUACAUAUCACAUGGUGGUUAAAUGCACAGUUAUAGGUAACACUGAUGACUCCCUGCAAUGUCUCACCAUGAGUCUCCCCUCCCUGGGUUUUGCAAGGCUUUGCUUAUUCCUUAUUUCUAGUAAAACAUUGUCAAUGUAAAAAAGUGCAAAUAAAUUUAAGUAUAAUUACCUAACAAUUUUUUGUUGUUGUAAUUUUUAUUAGUUUUUAGAUUGCUGACUUGAGCCAACCAUUAUUUUCUCCUCUCCAUGUCAGCGGGGAAGCCAUACAUUCGCACACCUUUCUCUGACUGAGUGGAGCAUCCCCAUGCAGCACAGUAAACCACGGUGGAGACUAUGCAAGGACAACAUUAAAGAAAGGACACAUACAAAAUGCUUGUCAUGCUAUUAAAUUUAUUAGAAAUGUAUUCAUGAAUUGCUGUAAAUAGUUUAUUGUAUAAUUACAAUUUAAAAUAACGGUUUUCUAUUUUAAAAUGGAAUAUACU